UUGCUCCGGCAGUACAUGUACUACAAUUGGAACGAUGCACAGAAGAUUAGAAUGGCCCUGCGCAAAUAUGACACGCAUAUUCGUGAAGCGUGCGCUCUCUCU